AGAGUUUGAUCCUGGCUCAGGAUGAACGCUGGCGGCGUGCUUAACACAUGCAAGUCGAGCGAAGCACUUUGGAAAGAUUCUUCGGAUGAUUUCCUUUGUGACUGAGCGGCGGACGGGUGAGUAACGCGUGGGUAACCUGCCUCAUACAGGGGGAUAACAGUUAGAAAUGACUGCUAAUACCGCAUAAGACCACGGUACCGCAUGGUACAGUGGUAAAAACUCCGGUGGUAUGAGAUGGACCCGCGUCUGAUUAGCUAGUUGGUGAGGUAACGGCCCACCAAGGCGACGAUUGGUAGCCGGACUGAGAGGUUGAACGGCCACAUUGGGACUGAGACACGGCCCAGACUCCUACGGGAGGCAGCAGUGGGGGAUAUGGCACAAUGGGGGAAACCCUGAUGCAGCGACGCCGCGUGGAGGAAGAAGGUUUUCGGAUUGUAAACUCCUGUCGUUAGGGACGAUAAUGACGGUACCUAACAAGAAAGCACCGGCUAACUACGUGCCAGCAGCCGCGGUAAAACGUAGGGUGCAAGCGUUGUCCGGAAUUACUGGGUGUAAAGGGAGCGCAGGCGGACCGGCAAGUUGGAAGUGAAAACUAUGGGCUCAACCCAUAAAUUGCUUUCAAAACUGCUGGCCUUGAGUAGUGCAGAGGUAGGUGGAAUUCCCGGUGUAGCGGUGGAAUGCGUAGAUAUCGGGAGGAACACCAGUGGCGAAGGCGACCUACUGGGCACCAACUGACGCUGAGGCUCGAAAGCAUGGGUAGCAAACAGGAUUAGAUACCCUGGUAGUCCAUGCCGUAAACGAUGAUUACUAGGUGUUGGAGGAUUGACCCCUUCAGUGCCGCAGUUAACACAAUAAGUAAUCCACCCGGGGAGUACGACCGCAAGGUUGAAACUCAAAGGAAUUGACGGGGGCCCGCACAAGCAGUGGAGUAUGUGGUUUAAUUCGAAGCAACGCGAAGAACCUUACCAGGUCUUGACAUCCGAUGCAUAGCUUAGAGAUAAGUGAAGUCCUUCGGGACAUCGAGACAGGUGGUGCAUGGUUGUCGUCAGCUCGUGUCGUGAGAUGUUGGGUUAAGUCCCGCAACGAGCGCAACCCUUAUUGCCAGUUACUACGCAAGAGGACUCUGGCGAGACUGCCGUUGACAAAACGGAGGAAGGUGGGGAUGACGUCGAAUCAUCAUGCCCUUUAUGACCUGGGCUACACACGUACUACAAUGGCGUUUAACAAAGAGAAGCAAGACCGCGAGGUGGAGCAAAACUCAAAAACAACGUCUCAGUUCAGAUUGCAGGCUGCAACUCGCCUGCAUGAAGUCGGAAUUGCUAGUAAUCGCGGAUCAGCAUGCCGCGGUGAAUACGUUCCCGGGCCUUGUACACACCGCCCGUCACACCAUGGGAGUUUGUAACACCCGAAGUCUGUUGCCUAACCGCAAGGAGGGCGCAGCCGAAGGUGGGAUAAGCGACUGGGGUGAAGUCGUAACAAGGUA
rnacentral:rRNA from 1 species